ensembl:rRNA 5S_rRNA 5S ribosomal RNA
UGCUACGGCCAUACCACCCUGAACAUGCCUGAUCUCGUCUGAUCUUGGAAGCUAAGUAGGGUUGGGCUGGUUAGUCAUUGGAUGGGAGACCACCUAGGAAGACCAGGUGCUGUAGGAG